rnacentral:rRNA from 1 species
UACGUAGGGUGCGAGCGUUGUCCGGAAUUAUUGGGCGUAAAGAGCUUGUAGGCGGUCUGUCGCGUCUGCUGUGAAAAUCCGGGGCUCAACCCCGGACUUGCAGUGGGGUACGGGCAGACUAGAGUGUGGUAGGGGAGACUGGAAUUCCUGGUGUAGCGGUGAAAUGCGCAGAUAUCAGGAGGGAACACCGAUGGCGAAGGCAGGUCUCUGGGCCACUACUGACG